rnacentral:rRNA from 1 species
GAUCCUGGCUCAGGACGAACGCUGGCGGCGUGCUUAACACAUGCAAGUCGAACGGAGCACCCUUGACUGAGGUUUCGGCCAAAUGAUAGGAAUGCUUAGUGGCGGACUGGUGAGUAACGCGUGAGGAACCUGCCUUUCAGAGGGGGACAACAGUUGGAAACGACUGCUAAUACCGCAUGACACAUAGGGAUCGCAUGGUCUUUAUGUCAAAGAUUUAUCGCUGAAAGAUGG